CAAUAAUAUAAAACCAACAAAUAUUUUUCUUUAUGUAUUUCAUGUAUCUGGUCUGUUUUAUAUAGCGAUUGUCAGGAGUCUUCGCAAAGCUCGUGAACGGGUGAAUUAUUCCAGUAUCCUAAACAUCCCCUCCGACAACUGAUCAUCAUGUUCCUCAUUCCGCACUUUCGCUCGUCGCCAAAGAAAUCUGCCGAAAAAUCGAGAAAGAACACUCACGCUGAUACGAUUUAAUUUUCGCACAUUUAAAGUCUGCAAAUCGUCUCUCGACCACUCUCGGUUAAAUUAAUGCGCAGAAGGACGCGGAUCGGAGCGCUGGAAUUUAUCCAGUAUCUGCAAAACACAUUGGCGUUGCAAAGCUGGUACAGCAAUACCGUAUUCUACAAAUUCUUUGUAUUCCUCUCCAGUAUCCGAGUGAAAUGUAGGUCCAGAUUAUGCGUUGACACCACGGUGCCAGCUUGGAGUAUGAGUGAGCCAGAGCAGCGCAGCAGCUUCCAAAAGUGUCAUCGAAUACGCAGAAGCCUGUCAUAUUGCGAUUGUCGAAAAUUAACCGAUCAACGUUGGAUCCGAUGUUU